rnacentral:rRNA from 1 species
CCGAGAAUAUUCGACAAUGGGCGAAAGCCUGAUCGAGCGACGCCGCGUGACUGAUGAAGUCCUUCGGGACGUAAAGGUCUUUUAUGAGGGAGAAAUUUCGAUGAUAGUACCUCAUGAAUAAGGAGCUCCAAACUCUGUGCCAGCAGGAGCGGUAAUACAGAGGCUCCAAGCGUUAUCCGGAAUCACUGGGCGUAAAGGGUGUGUAGGUGGUUGUGUUAGUCUCUCGUUAAAGAUCCCUGCCUAACGGGGAAAGUGCGAGAGAUACGGCAUAACUAGAGGAUGAGAGGGGUGAAUGGAACUCAUGGAGUAGGGGUGAAAUCCGUUGAUAUCAUGGGGAACACCAAAAGCGAAGGCAAUUCACUGGCUCACUCCUGACACUGAAACACGAAAGCGUAGGUAGCGAAUGGGAUUAGAUACCCCCGUAGUCC